rnacentral:rRNA from 1 species
AGUUGGUAAUUCUUAGGAAAGAUGGUCUUCGGGUGGGGCCCCGUUAGUCCUGACAGCGUCAUAGAGGGGGGGACCCGGUAUGUGAUCGCUGCUUGCGCCCGUUGAAGACUCUUUCACGAGUCGAGUGUUUGGAAUGCAGCUCAAAAUGGGUGGUAAUUUCAUCUAAAGCUAAAUACUGGCCAGAGACCGAUAGCGCACAAGUAGAGUGAUCGAAAGAUGAAAAGCACUUUGGAAAGAGAGUUAAACAGUACGUGAAAUGUUGAAAGGGAAGCGCUUGCGACCAGACUUGCGCGGGGUCGAUCAUCCGGGGUUCUCCCCGGUGCACUCGGCCUCGCUCAGGCCAGCAUCGGUUUCGGUGGCUGGAUAAAGGCCCUGGGAAUGUAGCUUCUCUCGGGGAGUGUUAUAGCCCUCGGUGCAAUGCAGCCUACUGGGACCGAGGACCGCGCUUCGGCUAGGAUGCUGGCGUAAUGGUUGCAAGCGACCCGUCUUGAAACACGGACCAAGGAGUCUAACAUCUAUGCGAGUGUUUGGGUGUCAAACCCAUACGCGUAAUGAAAGUGAACGGAGGUGAGAACCCUGAAGGGUGCAUCACCGACCGGUCCUGAUGUCUUCGGAUGGAUCUGAGUAAGAGCAUAGCUGUUGGGACCCGAAAGAUGGUGAACUAUGCCUGAAUAGGGUGAAGCCAGAGGAAACUCUGGUGGAGGCUCGCAGCGGUUCUGACGUGCAAAUCGAUCGUCAAAUUUGGGUAUAGGGGCGAAAGACUAAUCGAACCAUGAGAGAGUGCUAGGUGGUUAAGAGGGGGUCUAGAGAGCCCCCUAGUCCGCAGCCAGGGCGACACUGUCAAAUUGUUCGGGGACUACCUGUGAACUUCCAAGCUACCGCAGCCCGGUCGAAAGACGGGUGCGCACCGGGUUAACGACCUCGGGGAUGGUAAGAAUGCUUGGAUAGGGUACACCCGCAGCGAAGACCUACGGGUAUGAGCCCAUACCUAUGGAUAACGUCCACAGACUAGACGGCAGUGGGCCUGACCCCGCCCGCGGCGGUGGGAGGGUUUAAGAUAUAGUCGGUCCCCUCAGAGAUGAGGUAGGCACGCAGACGGUGGCGGGGAGGCAGCCUGGGGUGUGAACCCAGGCCCCCAGCACCGGGAGCUGCCUAGGAGCGCUGAGCUCUGGGGCGUGGGCGGCCUGGCUAGAGAGCC